CGAGCCCCAGCCCCAGGAGUCCCAGGUGUUCCCAUUCUGUGAUCAGCACAGAACACACACACCUCACCAUGGAGUUUGUGCUGGGCUGGGUGUUCCUGGUUGCUAAUUUAAAAGGUGUCCAGUGUGACGUGCAGUUGGUGGAGUCUGGGGGAGACCUGGUGAAGCCUGGGGGGUCCCUGAGACUCACCUGUGUGGCCUCUGGAUUCACCUUCAGUAGCUAUGGAAUGAGCUGGGUUCGCCAGGCUCCAGGAAAGGGGCUGCAGUGGGUCGCAUAUAUUAAAUAUGAUGGAAGUAGCACAGGCUACACAGACUCCGUGAAGGGCCGAUUCACCAUCUCCAUAGACAACGCCAAGAACACGCUGUAUCUGCAAAUGAACAGCCUCAAGACCGAGGACACGGCCACAUAUUACUGUGCAAGAGACACGGUGAGAGGACCUCGCUGGGAGCCCAGACACAAACCUCCCUGCAGAAGGGGAUCAACACCAACGGGGGGCGCGCACUAUGCACAAUUCUCCUUUGUGUUGCCAGGAGCAGCUGCACCUUUACAGGAUUCCCAGAUGCGCUCCCUGUGCAGCCAGGACCACAGGAUCCCACAGCUCCUCCUUAUCCUCACCCAGCCCUUGUCCCAGUCAAACAACGUGACACUUUCUUCAUAG